GCCCGCACACCGGCACCCCCUCACACACCCGCGCGUCGCUGCCGCGUCGUUGCGAUCGCUUCUUAAUUCAGCUAUCAAAUUCUGAAAUAUUCAUAAGGUAAAUCUUUCCCUGAGAAUUGGGUGUACCCAAUAUCUCCUUUUUUUAACUGCCUCUAAUCGUUUCUUUCGCAAAUAAUACAAAACCACAAACAUUUCGUCGACGUUCAUCUUGUACUAAGCCUCGCUACCCACUCGAAAAAUACACGCCAGCUGCGAUCGUGCACGACAGACGACUAGUGGGAACAGUACCGCCGACACCCGAUUGAAAUCCGGAUCCGACAUCCGACAUAGUGAGAACAGCGGCAACGACACACGAUUAAAAAUCGCCACGACAUCCGACAUAGUGGGAACGAGCUCUAAGCCGCACGCCCGCUCCAUGCACACGCGCGACGUUGCGGACGCCCUAUGCCCUAAACCUUACUUGAAAGUGUGAAGGUUACUCUGACAGCGGCUAUAUCAGCUAUAAUGUAUUUAUGACGCUUUGAGCAUAGCUAGUUACGACGCCUUAAGGUAUUCUUGGCGUUCAAAAGGUUAAGGGCGUUUGCUAGCUGGCGCGAGUGCACGGAGCGGGUGCACCUAGCGUCGCCAGUUACUGUUUUUCGUUAACCCGCUUCAGCUAGCAAACUAAUCGCAAAUGGUCCGAGAUUGGCGCAAUAAUCAUGCAUUCCCUUAUCUGGAUCUGGAUGCACCUAUUCACCAAUGCUUGCUUUAAAGUAACUUGUCGACUCGUCCUGAUAAUAUUUGUGCGACCGUGAAGAAAAUCUAUGCUGUCACUUAUUUUUCAAUUUAUAUGAAAUAAAGAUGUUAAAUGUAUUCAAAAGUUUUUAUUUAAUAAGGUAUGUAUAAGUGCUCUGUGCAUCCGCACCAGCUAGCGGUGCCCUUAGCAAACCAAUCGCAAAUGGUCCGAGAUUGGCGCAAUAACCAUGCAUUCUCUUAUCUGGAUCUGGAUGCACCUAUUCACCAAUGCUUGCUUUAAAUUAACUUGUCGACUCAUCCUGCUAAUAUUUGUGCGACCGUGAAGAAAAUGUAUGCCGUCAGUUAUUUUUCAAUUUAUAUGAAAUAAAGGUGUUAAAUGUA